UACAGGGGGGGCAAGCGUUGUUCGGAAUUACUGGGCGUAAAGCGUGCGUAGGUGGUUUGUUAAGUCUGAUGUGAAAGCCCUGGGCUCAACCUGGGAACGGCAUUGGAAACUGGCUUACUAGAGUGCGGUAGAGGGGUGUGGAAUUCCCGGUGUAGCAGUGAAAUGCGUAGAUAUCGGGAGGAACGCCGGUGGCGAAAGCGGCACGCUGGACCAGCACUGACACUGAGGCACGAAAGCGUGGGGAGCAAACAGG
rnacentral:rRNA from 1 species